CAGCAGCCGCGGGAAAACGUAGGGUGCAAGCGUUAAUCGGAAUUACUGGGCGUAAAGCGUGCGCAGGCGGUUAUAUAAGACAGAUGUGAAAUCCCCGGGCUCAACCUGGGAACUGCAUUUGUGACUGUAUAGCUAGAGUACGGCAGAGGGGGAUGGAAUUCCGCGUGUAGCAGUGAAAUGCGUAGAUAUGCGGAGGAACACCGAUGGCGAAGGCAAUCCCCUGGGCCUGUACUGACGCUCAUGCACGAAAGCGUGGGGAGCAAACAGGAUUAGAUACCCCCGUAGUCCCUGUCUCUUAUAA
rnacentral:rRNA from 1 species